rnacentral:rRNA from 1 species
GGGGAAUUUUCCCAAUGGGCGCAAGCCUGACGGAGCAAUACCGCGUGAGGGAGGACGGCUUUUGGGUUGUAAACCUCUUUUAUCAGGGAAGAACAAAAUGACGGUACCUGAUGAAUCAGCAUCGGCUAACUCCGUGCCAGCAGCCGCGGUAAUACGGAGGAUGCAAGCGUUAUCCGGAAUUAUUGGGCGUAAAGCGUCCGUAGGUGGUUUUUCAAGUCUGCUGUCAAAGCGUGGAGCUUAACUCCAUACCGGCAGUGGAAACUGGAAGACUAGAGUGCGAUAGGGGUAACGGGAAUUCCCAGUGUAGCGGUGAAAUGCGUAGAGAUUGGGAAGAACACCAGCGGCGAAAGCGCGUUACUGGGUCUGCACUGACACUGAGGGACGAAAGCUAGGGGAGCGAAAGGGAUUAGAUACCCCUGUAGUC